rnacentral:lncRNA from 1 species
GUGUGUGUGUCUGAGGGUCUGUGUGCAUGUGCAUAUGUGUGCACAGGUGUGCAUUUGUGCAUGUGAGUGUGAGUGGCCCAAAUAGGCAUGCACUGUGUAUCCAGCACACACUGCUUCCCCUAUUCCCCUGCACCCUGCCCCACCUCCACCCCCCAGGUCUGCAUACCCAUUAUCCUUGUGCCCGUUUGCUCAUACACACUCAGCCUGAGACACUCUCCCACCUCCUGUCCCUUCUUUCUCCCUUCAGCCAUGAGGUCUCCACCAAAUAUCUCAACUUCACAGCCUCAGAGAAUACCAGUCGAGUCAUGCAGCAUCAAUAUCAGGUCAGCAACCUGGGGCAAAGGACCCUUCCCAUCAGCCUGGUGUUCCUGGUGCCCGUCCGGCUGAACCAGGCGAUCAUAUGGGACCGUCCCCAGGUCACCUUCUCCGAGGUGAGUGGAGCACGGCCCUGCGCCUUCCUCACACCUCUGUUUCCACCCUUGGGUUUUGGAGCCACUCCGCCCCUCUCCCAGACCCAGGGCAUCUCACCUCCUGGCCGGCUGGCCCGGGCACCUUCAUCUCUGCCCCUUAGUGCCAGUGCCUCUCUUUCUUCAGAACCUCUCGAGUACGUGCCACACCAAGGAGAGCUUGCCCCCUCACUCCGACUUUCUGGCUGAGCUUCGGAAGGCCCCCGUGGUGGUGAGAAGCUAAGUCAGCCCCAGGGCCACGUGGAGACGCAGCGCGGUUCCCUGCUGGAGCCUAUCUGGUCUCUGAACAACGGGGAGGGGUCUUCUCUGCCUUCAGCUUCGUUACCAUCCCCUCCCCUCCUGCGUUCCGCAGAACUGCUCCAUCGCUGUCUGCCAGAGAAUCCAGUGUGACAUCCCGUUCUUUGGCAUCCAGGAAAAAUUCAAUGCCACCCUC